GCUUGUCUCAAAGAUUAAGCCAUGCAUGUCUAAGUAUAAACGAUUUUAUACGUGAAACUGCGAAUGGCUCAUUAUAUCAGUUAUAGUUUAUUUGAUGGUCCUUACUACUUGGAUAACCGUAGUAAUUCUAGAGCUAAUACAUGCAUGAACCCCCGACUUUUGAAGGGGUGUAUUUAUUAGAUUGAAACCAAUGCGGGUUCCCCGGUAUUUGGUGAUUCAUAAUAACUUUCGGAUCGACUUCGGUCGAUGCAUCAUUCAAGUUUCUGCCCUAUCAGCUUUGGAUGGUAGGGUAUUGGCCUACCAUGGCUUUAACGGGUAACGGAGAAUUAGGGUUCGAUUCCGGAGAGGGAGCCUGAGAAACGGCUACCACAUCCAAGGAAGGCAGCAGG
rnacentral:rRNA from 1 species